rnacentral:rRNA from 1 species
GAUGAACGCUAGCUACAGGCUUAACACAUGCAAGUCGAGGGGAAACGGCAUCGAAAGCUUGCUUUUGAUGGGCGUCGACCGGCGCACGGGUGAGUAACGCGUAUCCAACCUGCCCAUCACUUGGGAAUAACCUUGCGAAAGUAAGACUAAUGCCCAAUGACAUCCCACGAAGGCAUCCGAAGGGGAUUAAAGAUUUAUCGGUGAUGGAUGGGGAUGCGUCUGAUUAGCUUGUUGGCGGGGUGACGGCCCACCAAGGCAACGAUCAGUAGGGGUUCUGAGAGGAAGGUCCCCCACAUUGGAACUGAGACACGGUCCAAACUCCUACGGGAGGCAGCAGUGAGGAAUAUUGGUCAAUGGGCGAGAGCCUGAACCAGCCAAGUAGCGUGCAGGAUGACGGCCCUAUGGGUUGUAAACUGCUUUUAUAAGGGAAUAAAGUGGGUCACGUGUGACUUUUUGCAUGUACCUUAUGAAUAAGGACCGGCUAAUUCCGUG